rnacentral:lncRNA from 1 species
UGGUCACUAGAGAGGCAGCCCUGCUUGCUGCUCGGAUAGCCGCUUGUUAUCCGCAGGCGUACUCGGGGAUAGUCCAGCUCGACAUCCCUAGGAGAUUGAUAUGUGAGCCUUGCUUGUGAACCACGAGUUCACCUUGAGAUUGGGUUACCCAUUGAGCCAUACCCAUUGUUGUUGUUCAUGAUAGCUUGCUUCCAUAGUUGUUGUUGUUGAUCAUAGUUGCCUUUGGCUUACCGGCUGAUUGGGUGGUCUAGAGAAUAGCCCUAUUGAUGAACCUAGUGGUAUGGUAGUUAACCUUCACUAGACUUACCUUGAUAGCGAGCAUAGUCGCUUGGUAGUUGGUUUAGCGGAUUUGCCUAUAUACAGUGAGUGGGUAUACUAUUCCUUCACCUAUGAGAUUUGAGUACCUAUUGAGUCAUACUCAUUAUUGUUGUUCAUAAUAGCUUGCUUCCAUAAUUGUUGUUAUUCACCUCCUAGAUUUGAGAUCUUAGGCAAGUUAGCCUAGCGGAUUGGGUAAUAACAUGAAUAGCAUAAGAGUAUUGCAUUCAUACCUUGAUUAGACAUAGUGCAUUGCAUAACUAUGUUGUUGUUGUAUUUAUUUCACUGUUGAAGCAUAUUAGCAUGAUAGUAGAUUGUUGCUAGAUGAUGCUCCAUGCAUACUUUGCAUUUGAUGGCAUAGUAGAUAUAGUAGUAGUAUUUCCAUAUAUCUUUCUAUCUAUCUAUCUGUGCCAGCUUGGACCUAGUGGGAAGAUCGGCGGAGUCGGCGGCCGAACCCACUGGGAACUAUAUUUAUAUAGUUCUCACCCCGUGUGGUUGGUAUAGUACAGCAUGAGGAGCGGACCGGCAGAUGAUCGCAGCAGGCUAGCGCCCUACGUGCUAGUUGCGUAGAUGCUUCUCGUAUUGCAGUUAGUUGUCACCCUAUGACUACUUGAGUAGAUGAGCUAUAGGUAGGCUGUUUUGAGAAAAUGUGAAUUAAGUUUAUACUUUGGAUGAAUGUACGCUAAGUUGUAAAUUAAAUGUAUUAUCGAGUGAAUAGUUUAAUAGAAUAGUUACAGUAUUCUCUUUAUAUUUCACUUGUAUGUUUACCUACUGUGACGCCUGCUCUUUAUUGUUCAGCACUCGUUUGUGCUUUAGUCGUUUGUUGUAUGAUUGUGUAUCGUAUUCAGUGUUUUCCUGGGAACUUGUUGUACACGAAUCUCGUCAUUUGAAGGCCCUUGGCAGAAGGGAGAACUCUGUCCGUUCGGCCGGUCCGCCGCGCGCCGAACAUGCCAAAUCGUAGCGGCCGGGGCGUGUGGCUGACCAGUUGUGGUUCAAGAGCGAGUUAGAGAGCAAGACAAUAGAGAGAGUCUAGGACUGACCUACGGAGAACACCUAGGACAGGUGAACCUACAUUAUAGUGGCGUGAGGCGACGUGAACAAUCUAUACGGUGGCGGAGUGAGGAUCGAUUGAUCAAGUUUUGUAAAACCUCUAAGAGGAUACGUUAAGAGGUAGAUUCAGGUGUGGUAUUCUCAGCCAAGUGUGUUUAUGUUGCGCGCGACAACAUAAAACUGAUUGAUGAGAAUAGACGCCCUUGUGUGACUUUCGCCCGAUUGAGUGCGUUGUUUCGCUAUUGAGGCGAAGUUAAUGGGAUAGGUGAUUGGUUGGUGCCGGCUGGUUGCUGACAUUAGACCAAACACAGACUCGUGUUAGAGCGAUUGUUAGUUGCCGAGUACGGCACGUGGGCCUAAUAGAACCUCGAAAUGAGGUGGCGAGUUGUGCUUGUGUUGUCGGUGUGCAUAGGCAGAUUGCCUGAUGCUGGACUUCGUGUGAGACCUGUAGCGGACAUAGAGGCUCGAGUGUAGUAUCGUGAAGUGCGGUUUCGAUUCAGCCGGGAGUGAGUUGGCAAGUAGCACUUCAGCGCUAAGUGUGAAGCGAGGCCAUGAUACUACCGUAGGUGGUGGCUGCACUAGGUGCCUAGAAGCGUUAGAGUGCUGUAGGCUCUGAGAGCAAUGUGUGUAGGACGACGUUGGCCUGGGGUAGUGUUGGGGACGACCGUGCAUUGGACCCUUAUUAGGACUGUGGAGCCUGAGCCCAUUGGGCAGGCACAGUCAGCUGUGAGUGACAGCGCCCCGAUACCUACGGGUAGGGCAGAGAGUUUUGGUCAGGACGGUAGUCCGAGCUUAGAUCUGGGAGCGUGGAAUGCCACGUGUUAGAUCGUGAGAUUGAUGACACCGAGUGUGUAGUGACCCAACCCGAGGACUUGACGUGGUUUGGAGUCUUGGUUGCUCCUGGUUGGAGUGUGUGCGAAUUCUCCAAUGAGAGUGUCGCCCGAUGAUGAUUGGGUCUACGAAGCGAACGAGAGGCGCUAUGCGUAGUUGCGACAGGUUGGGCUGUAAGCCUACGUAGGACUGGUGACCUAUGGUUCACCAAUGAGAUCGAGGUAAACGGUAGGCGGGUGGCCUUAUCGACGAGUUUAAGCUUGAAUUCACGAACAGGAGUUCGUAUGAAUUCGUUGCAAGAGCGAUGUUAGUCGUGGCUGUAGUAUCAAAGGAUAAGGAGAGAAAGUAAAGUGGUCUCUGGGAGACACUUGAGUAAUGAAUAGCCACGUGAGGAUUGAAGCUUGAGGAAAUUGCUCUUCUAUGGAUUGAGAUUCGAGAUGUGCUGAGUGGGCUAUCUCGUGAUGGAACAAGGAUCUAGUCGAGGAUUGAAGCACUCGCGAUUGGUCGAUGCAUCAACGAAAUUGCCUCUGAGCAAUGCCGGUGAUCGAAUCGGAGUGAAAUUUCUCGAUUGGGUGUAUAAUGCAAAGAGCAGUUCCUUACAUGGUGGUAAUACACUUUUGGACUUGCACAUAACAAAUGUGAGCAUAUCCAGUCUCACAUCCUCCGAGGUGGGCCUUUGAACAGUCCAAUAAGUGAAAGGCCACUCCGAGGUGGGAAAGUGCAUUGGAAUUUUCGAUUGCUCGAUAAACCGAGUUGGAGUAUCGAUUGGGUUGAAGUGAGUUAGUUUCGAGGACGAAACUCUUUUAAGGAGGGGAGAAUGUAAGGUACCGGACUUCUAAAAUCAUGAGGUUACGGUGUCCAUUUGGUUGGAGAGCCAUUUGAAUGGUUCCGGUAAGGUUGCGGUGUAAUGUAAUAUACCGGAUUUAAAUAUAAUAAAUAAAAAUAAAUAAAAAUAGUAUGAGAUACUAUUUUUAUUGGAUUUGGAGAAGUGAAAUAUGAGUUAGAAAUGACUUGUGCUGAAAUCGGAAUGAAAACAGAAGAUUUAGAAUUUUCUGUGAGAGACGGGACAGGUAAAUUAGCAGAAAAUGCACAGUCUCAGAAAAUUAUGAAAAUUGGAGGAUAAGUCAGAAAUAUUUUUAUGAGGCUAGAUUUGAGGUUUCAUAUUUUUCUGACACCCGUAGAGUGAGAAAUAAAAUCCGAAAGCUAUCUGAUAAAGAUUGCAGUUCGGCACAGUUUUUGGUGACCAAACGGGGUCGAAGCUGGAAACUUAAGAUAUAUUCUUACUCAGUACGUUAAACCGAGACUACCUGUCAAAUUUGAGCGCAAACGGACAUUCAGAAGGGUUCCGACGGAACUUAUCAGAUUUGAGGGACUAAACUGAAAAGUGGAAUAGUUGAGGGGGCUGCUUGUGGAAAAGAGCAUUGCUCUUCUUCUCCUCCCUCAACCUGCGUACACAACCAGCACACACACACACACACAACACACGCAUGGAGGGGAAAAGAGAGAAAUCUCUUUCUCUCUCUAGAUUUCUCCCGAAGAGAGAGGAUUUUGGUGGAGGUUGAUGCUCAAGGAUGGAUUUUCAUCUUCUCCAACUUCUUCCUCUCCAUUGGAGCAUGCUUUGAAGGUAAGCUUCAAAACCCUUUAAUGGUAUCUCUUUGUAGUUUGGGUUUUAAGCUUCAAGAAUGGAUUUAGAGUUAUUCUAGCAUGCUAAAUAGAUGAUUAUUGCUAGAAUCUAGGAUCAAUUUAGUGAUUUAUUGCCUAGUUGUAACCUAGGGCUCUAAAGUGCAAGUUUUGCUACUAGUAGGGUUUGAUCUCAUUUAACCCUCUGUAAACCUAAUUGAUAGGUCACUGAACGCGUUGGAAGCGACGGUUCGGCGNUUGCUUGGGUUUUAAGCUCUAGAAACGAAUUAGUAGCUUUCCUAGAUGCUAAGUAGAUGAUUUAUGCUUAGAUCCUAAGUUCUAAUGGUGGAUUUUUACCUAUUGCAACAUAGAGCUCCAAAAUGAGGGCUUUAAUGGUAGAUCUCUAAAGAUAGGUCUAAAUGCUUUGGAAAUGGUUUUAGUGGAACCCAUUGAUGCCUAAUAGAUGGUUAAUGCUUGAAUCAUAGAGCAAUUUAAUGAUUUCUUGCAUAGUUGUAAACCUAGGGCUCAAAAUGCUAACUUUCAAAAUAUGAGGGUUUGAUCUCUUUUAACCCUCUGUUUACCUAAUUGCUAGGUCUACGAACGCGUUGGAAGCGACGGUUCGGCGAUUCGUUGAGCCGGUACAAAGAUAUUAAAGAAACGGACGUUAGGCUUCGUUUCCGCCUGGAGGGCCGAGGCGACGUCGUAAAAUCCUGAAAACGGAUUUGAAGCAUCGUACCAAGAAACCGAAGACCUUUAAUUUUCAGAUUGCGGAUCGGAGGUCGUUUGGUGGUCGCGCGCGGAUUGGGUCAAGCCGAGCGGCGUGCGCCGCGGGAGGCCGAUUGCAAGUGACGACAAGCAAUCGGAACGCGAUAAAAGGUGGGGGAGUGCCAUCCCGAAGUCAUCGGGCUUCUUCCUAUGUCUUAGUAUUUAUCCGUUCACAUGUAGCAUAUUGUAUGUUGCUAUGCAUUAUAGGAUGACAAUACAUGCAUUCCUAAUCCUUAUAUGAUGUUUAUGAUCAAUAUAGUAUUAUGAUAUGGAUAUAUGAUGUGAUGGACAUAAGGAUUAUGAGGUGACAUUGGUAAACCUAUGAUGCUAAAUGAAAGAAGAACCUAGUGUUGUGUUUAAAGACAUAGUUUACAAGUGGCAUUGAACUCAUUGUGCUAAAAACACAUAUGACUUGAACUAGUAAUGGAUUGGUUGUUGUACUAGAAACUCUAGUAACAUUGAUCAAGUUGCAUAUUGGGAUAUUGCAUUAUAGGGUACUAGUUGGCAAUUGUUACAUGUCAUGGCAUGCUAGUGAGAGUGUAGUGUUACUUGAUUAAUACUUGUACCUAGUAUGCAUGAGAUUGGGACUUAGUGUGGUGAAACCCUAUAAGGGCAUGAUUAAUGUGGGUUAAACUUGUUGAGUGCAUUAAUCGAUUAAGUUGCAUAUUGUAUUUAUUGCACUUAGGUGCUAGAUGAUUAUGGUCAUUGCUCAUAUUUGCAUGCUAGUAGCUAUACAUCUUGAUGAUUGUUCCAUGAUCUAGUAUGCAUGAUGAUUACAUGAUGAAAACCCUACAAUGAGAACCUAGACCCUAUAUGUGAGAUGAUUAAUGCUUAUAUUGCUAAAGAACUAGUAUGAUGUAACUAGUGUUGAAAUGAGUCUAAAUGACGAGUGGCAUCUAGUUUAGAAAACUAUGAUGAGUGGCAUGUGAUUGUUGAUAACCUUGACAUGAGAACCUUAGUGUAGUUGAAACACUAUGAGAUUGGGUACAAGAACACCUUGAUUCCAUGAUGAGAUUACCCUUAGAGGGUAGGUUGCUGUUGCUCGUGAGAUGAUCACGCUUACAUUGCCUGUCUGCGCUUGGUGGGGUCGCUCCCCCCAGGUUGUGCGCUCCGGAGUUUGGUCACUAGAGAGGCAGCCGUGCUCGCUGCUCGGAUAGCCGCUUGUUAUCCGCAGGCGUACUCGGGGAUAGUCCAGCUCGACAUCCCUAGGAGAUUGAUAUGUGAGCCUUGCUUGUGAACCACGAGUUCACCUUGAGAUUGGGUUACCUAUUGAGCCAUACCCAUUAUUGUUGUUCAUGAUAGCUUGCUUCCAUAGUUGUUGUUGUUGUUGUUCAUAGUAGCUUACUAGUGUUCAUAGUAGCUUACUUAUUGCUCAUGCCUUCAUGAUAUACUAUUCCUUCACCUAUGAGAUUUGAGUACCUAUUGAGUCAUACUCAUUAUUGUUGUUCAUGAUAGCUUGUUUCCAUAGUUGUUGUUGUUGUUCACCUUUGAGAUAUGAGUCGAGUAGACCAGAAUGAGGUAGCUUUUCACCUACUAGAUUUGAGAUCUUAGGCAAAGUAGCCUAGCGGAUUGGGUAAUAACAUGAAUAGCAUAAGAGUAUUGCAUUCAUACCAUGAUUAGACAUAGUGCAUUGCAUAACUAUGUUAUAGUUGUAUUCAUUUCACUGUUGAGGCAUAUUAGCAUGAUAGUAGAUUGUUGCUAGAUGAUGUUCCAUGCAUACUUUGCAUUUGAUGGCAUAGUAGAUAUAGUAGUAGUAUUUCCAUAUAUCUUUCUAUCUAUCUAUCUGUGCCAGCUUGGACCUAGUGGGAAGAUCGGCGGAGUCGGCGGCCGAACCCACUGGGAACUAUAUUUAUAUAGUUCUCACCCCGUGUGGUUUUGGGGUACAGGUACACAUGAGAGCGGAUCGACAGAGGAUCGCAGUUU